rnacentral:rRNA from 1 species
GGACUACUAGGGUAUCUAAUCCUUUUUGCUCCCCACGCUUUCGCAUCUCAGGGUCAGGAAUGUCCCAGUACCUUGCCUUCGCCUUUGGUGUUCCCCACGAUAUCAACGGAUUUCACCCCUACACCGUGAGUUCCUGGUACCUCUAACAUCCUCUAGUCCUGCCGUAUCUCCUGCAUUUCCAGCGUUAGGCGCUGGGCUUUAACAAAAGACGCGCAAGACCCCCUACAUGCUCUUUACGCCCAAUAAAUCCGGAUAACGCUUGAGGUCUACGUUUUACCGCGGCUGCUGGCAC